CAGUCGCCACGGUAAUACGGAGGGAGCUAGCGUUGUUCGGAAUUACUGGGCGUAAAGCGCGCGUAGGCGGUUACUCAAGUCAGAGGUGAAAGCCCGGGGCUCAACCCCGGAACUGCCUUUGAAACUAGGUGACUAGAAUCUUGGAGAGGUCAGUGGAAUUCCGAGUGUAGAGGUGAAAUUCGUAGAUAUUCGGAAGAACACCAGUGGCGAAGGCGACUGACUGGACAAGUAUUGACGCUGAGGUGCGAAAGCGUGGGGAGCAAACAGGAUUAGAGACCCCAGUAGUCCCUGUCUCUUAUAC
rnacentral:rRNA from 1 species